AGAGUUUGAUCCUGGCUCAGGAUGAACGCUGGCUACAGGCUUAACACAUGCAAGUCGAGGGGCAGCAUGCCGGUUGCUUGCAACCGGUGAUGGCGACCGGCGCACGGGUGAGUAACGCGUAUCCAACCUUCCCGCGACCAAGGGAUAACCUGCCGAAAGGCAGACUAAUACCUUAUGUCCUCCUUUGAAGGCAUCUGACGAGGAGCAAAGAUCCGUCGGUCACGGAUGGGGAUGCGUCCGAUUAGCUUGUUGGCGGGGCAACGGCCCACCAAGGCUUCGAUCGGUAGGGGUUCUGAGAGGAAGGCCCCCCACACUGGAACUGAGACACGGUCCAGACUCCUACGGGAGGCAGCAGUGAGGAAUAUUGGGCAAUGGAGGCAACUCUGACCCAGCCAUGCCGCGUGAGUGAAGAAGGUUUUCGGAUUGUAAAGCUCUUUCGGAUGUGACGAUGAUGACGGUAGCAUCUAAAGAAGCCCCGGCUAACUUCGUGCCAGCAGCCGCGGUAAUACGAAGGGGGCGAGCGUUGUUCGGAAUUACUGGGCGUAAAGGGUGUGUAGGCGGUUAUGUAAGAUAGCGGUGAAAUCCCGGGGCUUAACCUCGGAAUAGCCGUUAUAACUAUGUAGCUAGAGUUAUGGAGAGGAUAGCGGAAUACCCAGUGUAGAGGUGAAAUUCGUAGAUAUUGGGUAGAACACCGGUGGCGAAGGCGGCUAUCUGGCCAUAUACUGACGCUGAGGCACGAAAGCAUGGGGAUCAAACAGGAUUAGAUACCCUGGUAGUCCAUGCUGUAAACGAUGAAUGCUGGUUGUCGGCUUUAGGGUCGGUGACGAAGUUAACGCGAUAAGCAUUCCGCCUGGGGAGUACGGUCGCAAGAUUAAAACUCAAAGGAAUUGACGGGGACCCG
rnacentral:rRNA from 1 species